CUUGGUGCCUAUGCGUCCGGAACACACCCGUUCCCAUCUCGAACACGAAGGUAAAGACGGACAGCAGCGACAAUACUUGGAGCGCGAGCUCCCGGGAAGAUAGCCCGGUGCCAGGA
rnacentral:rRNA from 1 species